rnacentral:rRNA from 1 species
CACGUAGGGUGCGAGCGUUGUCCGGAAUUAUUGGGCGUAAAGAGCUCGUAGGCGGUGUGUCGCGUCGGCCGUGAAAACCUGCAGCUUAACUGUGGGCUUGCGGUCGAUACGGGCAUCACUGGAGUUCGGCAGGGGAGACUGGAAUUCCUGGUGUAGCGGUGAAAUGCGCAGAUAUCAGGAGGAACACCGGUGGCGAAGGCGGGUCUCUGGGAAACAACUGACGCUGAGGAACGAAAGCGUGGGUAGCAAACAGG